rnacentral:antisense_RNA from 1 species
CAGAAGCAGUGUGGAGCACAAAGAAUCCCUAAUCCCUGACAUUAAGAAAGAAGAAAAAUAUUCCUAGGACGAUCCUGGAGAGCAAAGGUCAUUAGCAGUCACUUGACUUUCCUUGGAUUUCUCAACUGCAGUAGUCACACGGUCUGCUGAAAAUGAAUUCUCUUUAUUUUCAUCUGAUUUCAAGGAAUUAUGGUUUUCAGUGAUUUCUUCAUUUGGAUCUAUUUUGAGACAGAGUAAUAGCAUUAAAACCCCCUUCUGAAUUAAUAAGUAUUUUAUGGGUGCAAAGGAAAUUAUAUGUCAAAAGCAAUGGAGAGAAAACAUUUGAGAAAAUGGAAGAAAUGCUGAGACACUGGAGUCUACCCUGAAAGAUAAAGUUUCACCUGAGGAGAUCUGCAAAUUAGUAGCUUUUUGCCAGAAGGCAUUCUCCAAUCUAUGCAGCUCAAGUAAUAGAAGGCUACAGCCUUGGUGGAAUGACUUGAGGGGACAGAGGACAGAGUCUAGGACCAUCAGAUCAGCCAAUAAAGAAAGAAGAGACACAGACAUGCAGAGAAAACACAGGGAAGAAGGCCACAUGGGAUGAAGGCAGAGAUGGGAAUGAUGCAGCUACAAGCCAAGGAAUGCCAUGGACUGCCAGCAACCACUAGAAAGAAGCUGGAAGAGGCAAGGAAGGAUUCUUCUGUGAUGCCUUCAGAGGAAAAUGGCCCUGCAAACACCCUGAUCUCGGACUUCUGACCUCCAGAAGUAAGAGAAUACAUUUCUGUUGUUUUAAGUUAA